UUUUUUUUUUUUUUAGAAUUUUAAUGCAAAAUUUUAUUUUAGGUUAAAGAAGAAAGUAAGACAGAAAAAAAAAUGUAAAGGAUCAUCUUCUGUGCUUAUUAAUAAAACAAAGUCUGAUGAGAGCAGUUCACAAGAUGACUCUUCUGAUGAUGCUUAUUCAGAGGAAAAUAGAGAUAAAGAGAUACCUGAAGCAAAAGAAAAUAGUUAUAAAGAUGACGAACAACAUAUUGAAACAAGGAGAAAUGAGUCACAGAACCAAAAUAUAGAUAUUAAAACAACUUCUGUUAUAGAGCACAUGGAUUCAAGUUGAGUAUAUCUGAAUAACAAGCUUUUUUAUGGAAUUCUGGAAUGGAUAAAUUUUGGCUACAAAUUUGCAAUUUCAUCAGAUUUCCACGAAGAGUGAAAUUUUGAAGCUCUACUUUUUAAAUAUCACAAAUUGAUGUAUAUUCGAGCUGAUAUGUAAGAUUUUAAACCAUGUUAUAAGAUUAUUAUUUUAUAUCAGAAGGACAGUAAAGUUUGUGGAAUGAACUUUCCAAGAAUAUUUUAUUCUCAGCAUUUAUAUGAAAUUGUUCUUAAAGAAUGUUUCAGUUCUUUAAUUACUGUUGUAUAUUAUGUAAAAUAAAUUAUUUAUCUUAAAUGCUUUAUUGGAUAAUAAUUGCUCACACUGAGAUUAAACUAUUUCUCAACUGUAUAGAAUAUGUACUUGAGAUUUGGUUACAUUAAGUAGAUCAUCCAGAAUAAUGCUAAAACUGGCCCAUUAAAUAAAGUAUAUGG